AGUGCUGGCUUGGAGCCGGGAGGAUGCGAUGGCCGCUGGCAGGGGAACUGUGGCGGUGAAUGUCAGCCAUGGAGACAGCCCUGCUGCCCACCCGCCGGCCGUGCGCCCCUCGCUAACCCGGGCACAGAGCGGGGGACCAGCAGCCACAGGGAACCGGGGGGCAGCAGGCUGCUGGCUCGGGAUCUUCUGCAUCCAUCCGCCCGCCCGGGCACCGGCACCGCUCCGGCUCUGCUUUCCCGUGCGGAGGAUUCGGCGCUGGAUGUAAGGGGACAGUUGCCGCACGGUUGAGCGCCGACCGAUUGCUGCGCGCAGGCUUCCUGGAGGUCACUGCCGUGUAAUAAGAUUUUGGAGCCGUGCUCCGAGCUGUCUCCCAGUUCCUCUCGGCUGCCUGGGUACCACCAUGCUUCCUCGCUGGGCAAAGCAUCCCUUUGGCGCUUCCCCCAGAGCGGUGCCGAGGCUGCCGGAGCAGCAGAGACCUGCCGAGCCCGGGGACUACAGGCUCUCUCCGUUGCUCAUGGAUCCCGAGAGGACAAGCACCCACAUGAUCUCGGCAGAUGAUGCCGAGUACCCACGGGAGUACCGGACCUUGGGCAACGGCACCCGGCGCUUCUCCAACGUAGGGCUGGUGCACACCUCGGAGCGCCGGCACACUGUCAUCGCUGCCCAGAGCCUGGAAGCCCUCACUGGCCUCCAGAAGUCGGAGAUGGAGCGCAAACGGGAUGCCUUCAUGGACCAUCUAAAGAACAAGUACCCACAGCAUGCGCUGGCGCUCCGCGGGCAGCAGGAGCGCAUGCGGGACCAGCAACCCAACUACUGGAGCUUUAAGACGAGGAGCUCCCGACACUCCCAGGGCUCCCAGCCUGGCUUGGCCGAUCAAGCCAAACUCUCCUUCGCCUCGGCCGAAUCCCUGGAAACCAUGUCGGAAGCGGAGCUGCCCCUGGGGUUCAACAGGAUGAACCGAUUCCGGCAGAGCUUGCCCUUGUCCCGCUCCACCAGCCAGACGAAGCUGCGGUCGCCAGGGGUCCUUUUCCUGCAGUUUGGGGAUGAGACGAGGCGCGUCCACAUCACCCACGAGAUCAGCAGCAUGGACACCCUGCACGCCCUCAUUGUCCACAUGUUCCCCCAGAAGCUCACCAUGGGGAUGCUGAAGUCCCCCAACACUGCCAUCCUCAUCAAGGACGAGUCGCGCAAUGUCUUCUAUGAGCUGGAGGAUGUCCGCGACAUCCAGGACAGAAGCAUCAUUAAAAUCUACCGGAAAGAGCCGCUCUACGCCUCCUUCCCAGCCUCGCACAUCACCAACGGGGACCUGAGGCGGGAGAUGGUGUACACCUCCAGGGAGUCAUCUCCCACCCGCCGGCUGAACAACAUGUCCCCGGCUUCCCACCUCACCUCCGGCUCCCCUCCGCCGGUGCUCCAGUCCUCCUCCCCGUCCCGCUCCCGCAUGUCCUACAGCGGGGGUCGCCCGCCCUCCUACGCCGGCAGCCCCGUCCACCACAGCGAGCGUCUCUCCAACCUGCCGCCCGCCCAGGGCGUCUCGCCCAGCCCCAGCGCCAUCCUGGAGCGCCGGGACGUGAAGCCGGAUGAGGACCUGGCUGGGAAGAACGUAGUGCUGGUGAAGAACGAGGGGCUGUACGCCGAUCCCUACGGCAUGGUGCAUGAGGGGCGGCUCAGCAUCACCUCCACCCAGUCCCUGGCUGGCAUGGGAGACCCCUUCGGCUACUCGGGGGGGCUGUACAAGCGGGGCUCCGUUCGUUCCCUCAGCACCUACUCGGCGGCCGCCUUGCAGACGGAGCUGGAGGACAGCCUGUACAAGCCCAACGCGCCCAUUUACAGCGAGACGUACGGACCUGGCCUGGGUUUCCGCAUGCCCCCCUCCUCCCCCCAGAAGAUGGCUGAUGGCCGGCUCAUGGACGUGCAGCCGGGGCAGAGCCCGCACAGCCCCUACUCGGGACCCCCCAGCCGCUCCUCACCCGUCCGUCAGUCCUUCCGCAAGGACUCCUGCUCCUCCGUCUUCAUGGACAGCCCCGUCAACAAGCCGCGCAACCCCAGCUCCUCCGGCCCACCGGAGCUCUUCCCCGGCCCCGGCGACCGCCCGCUCUCGGGGUUCGGCUCCCCUGGACCAGCCAAGGACACCGAAACGAGGGAGCGGAUGGAGGCGAUGGAGAAGCAGAUCGCCAGCCUGACGGGGCUGGUGCAGAGCGCGCUGCUCCGUGGCUCCGAGGCUGAGACCCCCAGCGAGAAGACAGAAGCCACCAACGGUGGGACCCCCCCAUCAGCGUCGACCAGCCGCAGUGGCAUGGGGACACCAGUGCCUGCACCCCCACCGCCCUCCGCCACCAGCACGCCGGCGGGGCAGCCCACCGCCAUCACCCGCUUGCACAUGCAGCUGCACCUCCACGACCUGCAGCAGAACACCAGCGACCUCCGCAACCAGCUGCAGCAGCUCAAGAAGCUGCAGCUGCAGAACCAGGAGAUGGUGAAGACGAUGCUGCGGCGGACAGAGACGGAGAUCAGUGUGCGGGUGACGGACACCAUGCGCAAGCACGAGGACCCGCUGCAGCGCCAGCGCAGCUUGGUGGAAGAGGAACGGCUCCGUUACCUCAACGAGGAGGAGCUGAUCACCCAGCAGCUCAAUGACCUGGAGAAGUCGGUGGAGAAGAUCCAGAAGGAUUUGGCCCACAACCACCGGCUCAUCCCUGUGCAGGAGCUGGAGGAGAAGGCGGUGGUGCUCAAGCAGCUGGGGGAGACACUGACAGACCUCAAGGCCCAGUUCCCCAGCCUGCAGAGCAAGAUGCGGGUGGUGCUGCGGGUGGAGGUGGAAGCCGUCAAGUUCCUCAAGGAGGAGCCGAACCGCCUCGAUGGCCUGCUCAAGCGCUGCAAGACGGUGACGGACACCCUCACCCAGAUCCGCAGGCAAGUGGACGAGGGCAUGUGGACCUCCCCCAGCAACCUCAGCCAGUCCCCCAAGAAGGUGGCCCCCGAGACAGACUUCAGUAAAGGGCUGGAUUUGGAGAUGCCCACCAGCCCCCCAGUGAGCCUCCACCACCUGACGGCUGCCACCGAGACCCUGGGCAUGCCCAGCUUUGGGCACAGCCCCCCUCAGACCCAGACCCACCCCUCCAAGAGCAAUAACCCUUCCCGAGCUCCGGAGAUGGUACCCGCCAAGACCCAGACGGGCCCGGAGACCCCCAGCAAGAAGAGUGCGGAUAAAGCUGUAUCUGUGGAGGCUGCCGAGCGGGACUGGGAGGAGAAGCGGGCAGCGCUGACCCAGUACAGUGCCAAGGACAUCAACCGCCUCCUGGAGGAGACGCAAGCCGAGCUGAUGAAGGCCAUCCCGGACCUGGAGUUCGCUGCCAAGCACAAGCAAACCACGGGCAGCGGCAGCACCGCCUCCACGCCUGAGCACAAACCCUCCAAGCCGCAGCAUGCACCGAAGUCGGGGGGCAAGGGGGACCCCAAUGGCCGCAGGGGCUCAGACGAACUGACGGUGCCGCGGUACCGGACCGAGAAACCCUCCAAAUCACCACCGCCUCCCCCUCCGCGCCGCAGCUUCCCCUCGUCCCACGGGCUGACCACAACCCGCAGCGGCGAAGUCAUCGUCACCAGCAAGAAGGAGCCCGGUUUUAUGAAGAAGGCCGAGUCGGAGGAGCUGGAAACCCAGAAGCCCCAGGUGAAGCUGAGAAGGACAGUGUCGGAGGUGGUCAGGCCAGCGUCCACCCCCCCCAUCAUCGCCUCUGCCAUCAAAGACGACGACGACGAGGACCGCAUCAUUGCGGAGCUGGAGGAGCCGCCAGCCCUGGCAGCCCCGGGGAGCAGGGCUUUCUCCCUCCCGCAGAUUGUGCUCACCGAGUGGGUGUCUGAACCGCCGUCCCCCGAAGCUGAACCGGAGGUGUGGGUGGCAACUGGCUGCUCGGAGCACGGGGACCCCCAGAGCGGAGGAGCGGGAGGGGAGCGUGUACCCGAGGUGGGAAGGAAAUGCCCUGUGUCUCCUGGCAUCUCUGAAAAGUCCCCGUCCGCAGCGGGGUACCCUCCAGCCCCAGCCCCACACCCCCUGAACAGCCCAUCUCAGGGCCAUGCCCAUGCAGCAGGAGAGACUCGGAGGUUCCCUCUAGUAGCCAGCAAGGUACCACCUAUCUCAGGGCACAAACCGAGCCAGCCUGUGGCGGGAGGAGGAGGGGACACUGCUCCGAACGCUGCCAGCAGGCGAGAAGGUGGCAGCAAGACAUCUCACCGAGGUCCCUUGGCUGCACAGCCUCCUCGUCCCCGGGGGGAAGCCAGGGGUCCUGGAUCUGGAGAGGCAGCGCUCCCCUCCACCGGUGGCAGAACGCCCAGUGCCGUCCCCCAGCUUCCCAAUGAUGGGGACCCCCAAGGAGGAACCAGGCGGAGCACGCAGGAGGCAUCACUCCCUCCUGGGCAUUCUGCUGGGGCUUGCAGACAAGCCUGGAGGGAGGACAGCUCACCAGUGCCAAAUCCCAGAGCUUUUCCAGGCAGGGAUCCAGCCCCGCAGGGAAGCGGACAGUCCUGGGCUGAGCAUCCCCAGGAGCAGGUUGCUGCUUUCUGGAGGCCAAACCACUGCGCAGCUCCUGCUGCCGGGGGAGGAGGUGGCACGGAGGACGCCGGGGUUGGGGGGAAGGCAGCGGAAGGGCUCUGCAAAGGGCAGGUGUCCCCUCGCCGCUCCAUGGCUCCGUGCAGCAAGGAGAUUUACGAAGGCACGUACCAAAGACUGGACAGCCUGGAAGAAACUAUCCGUGAGCUGGAAAUAACCAUCAGCGAGAUCAGCAGCCAUCCCUUGGUUGAAUUUGUAUUCCCUAAAGAACUGCUAGGACAAGCGGGAUCCAAGGAUGCUGGCAAGGAGACCAAGGAAGGUCUGAGGGAUCUCAGACACAGUCGCUGUGAUGACGGGACUGCCCUGGACCUCAGUCAGGCCAAAGAUGAUGCUCGUGAGAGUCCAUCUCCAAGCAAGACCAAGCCACCUCUGCUACCCAAGCCGCAGCUCUCCCUCGACACUCCGCAGGCAUAGCCAAGGUGGAAAACAAAUCUCCGUUUCUCCCUGUGGCUUGAAGGGGUUUGGGAAGCGCAGGCAAGCAGGAGCGAGACUGCAGGCAGCAGUCGGCAGCGGAAAGGCAGGUUUGGGGGCUGAGCAUGCUGCUGGUGAUGAGUACAGGGCCAGUGAUGAGCAUCCCACGGGGCCGGCGAGGGCUGGGUGUGCUGGGUGACGAAGCAGCGUCCCUCGUUUUGCAUAAGCACUUUUGUAACGAACUGUGGUUUGAGCGUGGCAGCUGUUUCUCCUAAUUAAAUCACAGCGCGGGCUCCCCGAAGCCAUCCAAAUUGGUUUCUGCCGGAAUCUGUGGCAGCCGCUCGGCUGGCUGAAUAGCUGGGAAAAGAGGGGAGAAAACGCCCCCAGCCGCUCCGAUGUCAGCCUGCUCCUUUAUUAACGCUCAGCACUGGGGAAUAAAUCUCCUUUUUCAUUUGCAGCAAUUAUCUCAGCCCCGCUUCUCAGCACCGCCGCGGUGCUCUCGCUGGGUGAAUGGGCCGACAAGUGGGUGUCGCUGCCAUUUCUCCCGUUGCUGGCUCCCGCUGCACCACUGGAGCCUGGCAAGCUAGGAGCAGGAGCUGCGGGAUGGAUUUGUGGCACGUGCACGGGUGCGCAGAAAGCAAAGCUCAGCUCGGGGUUCAGCAGGAGAGGCUGCGCAGCUCGGUCGGUGCUGAAAGCCGAGGCGGGAGAGGGCAGGUCUUGUGCCGCCUUUCAAGGAUGCUGCGAGUUGGUUGCGAAGGCUGGGAUCCAGUGCCUGCUUGUGCCAGGGAUGCUGGGGCGCCGGGGAAGGUGCGGCGCAGGCAGGGGCUGGAUUUCUGUGUGCUGUGGGGUACAGGAGUCCCCACGUCCCAUCCGUGUGCCCACCGAGGGUCACAGGGCAGGGCAGGCAGGACAGGCAGCACGGAGAGCCACAUAGCCAUCGCUACAAUAACCCGUUGGCCUUCUCUCGUCGGAGGUGCAAUCUGGGCAGCAAUUGCACAUCUCUGGGGCAGCGUCGGUGCUGCCGGUUUUUCUGCCUGCGGCAACUGGUCCGGACUUGGUAUGGGGCAGGCAGGAGGCAGCAGUGAUGGCAGGGAGAGGAUCCAGGGUGCCCCGGGCAGCGGGGGGACGCGUGCCGGGCACCGCUUUAGGGACCCACAGUGCCAGGGGAUGUGUGUACAGGUACCGCUUCCCUCGCUGCAGCUCUUGCAAGUCUUUGUAUCUCCAUCUCUACACAGCUAGUUAAUAAAACCCUCUGUAUUCCCACUGCCGCCGUUUCCACCUGGAGUUUGCUUCUGCCUGCCGUCGCCUCUUUUCCUUUCUCUUGGCCGUGCAGCCCUGCCCUGGUGGGGAUGCUCUCCUCCUGCCCUUGGUCUCCUGGUGUUUGCCGUGUCUGCCCCAAACUCCCUCUUUGCCUUGCAGUGGUGGCACUCAGUAAGUCCUGGCUGGUUUCUGAGCUCGCCAAAGCAUUGCCCGGUGACAGCUCCUUUGGCACACAGAGCUGGUGACCUCGUCCUUGCCUGGGUUUGCCACCACGGGCUGGUCCGGGCAGGGAUGGCAUGGUGGUGCCGCAGGGGCUCGGCACAGCUCCAGGCAUCCGAUGCGCUGCCAACGGGGCCGGUGUGGGCUUUCAUCUGCUGGUUUUAACCCCUUCCCCAAAAUUCUCUGUC